rnacentral:sRNA from 1 species
CCCUAGCCCCGAUAGUAGUGGAAAUCCUUUUUGUUUUUUCUUUAAAAACAAAAAGAUUGCAACGUAUAGCGGGAAAUAGC